rnacentral:lncRNA from 1 species
UUAUUUUGAAAUCAAUUGUUGUUUUUGAAAGCGCGCCCUAAAGCUAUCCAAUUUCAACAGUUAAAAUAAGUAUUACCUAUCUUAGUAAUACAUAUUAAAACCAUCAAAAAUAAUUAAGCGGCCUUAUUACAUUUAAAAGCCCCAAAACUUCAAACGUAAAUAAAAGGAUGUCCAGUUCACCAGAAGAAAAUCAAACUUUCAGAACGGGUGGCCACUCCGAAUUCCCUCACAGCUCCAAGCCCACUAUGGUUGGGGAUUUCCUGCGUGGAUGAAAAUAAAAGGGGUGAGUUUGGGGAAACUCAGUGUGUAAGGAAAACCCAUUCAAAGCCCAAGUCAGCUCAAGCCUAUUGGGCCUAAGCCCAUUCAGGUAACAGUGGUACUGGGCCAGAGCCCUUUUCAGAUUACAAUAAACUGGGCCUUAGCCCCUUAUUCAGAUAAUAGUAUGGCCCAUAGGCCCAUUUCAAAAUACAUGUGUAAUAGCCCGAUUUUAGGCUUAGUCGGAACAGUGGUUUCGGGACCACAAAUCCGACGAAAAAAAAAAUGUAAUGGCUUGAAUUUUCAGAGGUGUCGGAACGGUGAUUCGAGAUCACUAAAUUCGACAAAUGGGUAGAAAAUAUUAUUAAUUUAGUAAGUAUAAGUUAAAUAUGAAGUUAGGAAAAUUUUUGAAAUAGUGAAUAGUGCACUAGAAAUAAAUAUUAAAAUAAUUAGAAUCGAAAUGAUGUAUCAAGACCUCGGGGAUUUUAAACUGAGCCAUAAAUAUUUUUAUAAAUAUUUAUGGAGUGUUAAAAAGUUAGUAUUAAAGUUUCGUUAAGAAAUUUUAAAGUUCCGAUAAUUAAUUGAACAAAAAGGACUAAAUUGUAACAAAUGCAAAAUUUUGGGAAAUGAUUAAAUAGCUUAAAUGAUAAAAGGAAGAGGGCUUAAAAAGCAAAUAGACCCAAGGUCUAUUUGGGCUGGACCGCAGAGGCAUGAAAUCAGCAAGAAAGUAAGGAGAAUUAAGGGCAAAAUUGGAAAAUUGCAAAAUUUGCUUAAUAAAGUUAGGACCCAAGUGGAAUUAUCUAGAUUUCUCUUCAUUUUUCUGAAUUCUCAUCAGCUAAAACACCAUGGAAGGGCUUCUUCAAGCUGGUUCUUCAUAUUUUUAUUACAAGUAAGUUCAGUUCUUGACUAUUUCUUGAAAUUUUUGUAUUUUUAUGACUUUUACAACUAGGCCCACUUGUUAAAUUCAUUAGUUUUUGAUUUUAUGAAAGAAGUUGAAAGUUGAUAUGAAUAUGUGCUGGAAUUAUAUGAUGAUUUAGCAUGAAAUUAGAGCUUUAAAUUGUUCAUAUGCUGAUUUUAUUGAAAGAAUUGAAUAGAAAGUGAAUGUUUGGGACCUAAUAGUAAAAGAGUUUGAAGAUAGAGUUAUAUGUGGAAAUUCUGAAUUUCAAUAGUUGUGUAACAACUUAUAAUGUCUAGUAAAGUACUAAUUGAGAAAAUUAGAUUAAUUGAGGGGUUAAUUGAGAAAGGACCGAAUUGUAUAAACUGUGAAAUUUGGGGCAAAAUGGAAAUCAACAUUUUGCACUAAAGCAGUUUUGGACAGCAGCAGUAGUGUAACUUUGAAAAAUCACCAAAAAUUGUAGAGAUUGAAUUAGAGGAUGAAUAAAAUAUGAAAUUAAAGCUUAUUGAGUCUAGUUUCUUAUAAAAGAAAUGAUGUGAGCAAUGGAAUUGUAAAUCAUGAGAUAUAAUAGAUUUUGUGAGAUAAGGUCAGAAUGAAUUCGGGUUCCCCUGUUCUGACUUUGGAAAAUCAUUAAAAAUUGUACAGAAAUUAUUAUGAGUUAUAGUUUAUAUGGUUAGAAUCCUUAAUGAGUCUAUUUUUAGAAGAAACAAGCUAAAACAUCAUCCGAAUUCUGUACAAUGAGAUAAUUAAUUUUUAGUGAAGAGUGGUCGGAACUGUCAGACAGAGAAACAGGGGAAACUUUAAAGAAUAAACUGUACUAUUUGGCUGAACCAAAAAUUAUGAAAAUUUUAUGGUAUGAAGAUAUGUGAGUCUAGUUUCAGGGAAAAUUAACGGAUCUUAAUUUGGAGCUCUGUAGCUCCGGAUAAAAAUAAUUUAGUGACUCUGACUCGGAUAAGCAGCUUUGAAUAUACAUGUUAGUGAAUAUUGAAAUUAUGGUUAAUGUUGUUUAAGUGUGUUAUACACAUUAAGGAUGUGGAAUGGAGAGGAGGAGGAGGAAAAUUGGGAAAUAUAUGAAUGAUUCGUGUAUAAAUGGUCAUAUGUUUGAUUAUAACUCAUAAACGAUGAAAUAUGAAUGAUGCUUAUUUUUGUGCAUUAUUGGUCAUGGUUUAAGCUCAUGUGUGAAAAUAAAGUUUCAUAGUAUGUGUGUAUGGUAUAUUCAGUAUAUGAUUUGGCAUGAAAUAAUACCAUGAAUGGUUUAUGAAUUAACACAUGUUGGUAAGCCUGAUAUAUGAAUAAAUGAUCAAAUUGAGCGGAACGCCGGAUUUGAGUACUUCUGAUCAAGUGAUGAAGUGAUAAGUGGUAGCUUUAGCUACACUUAUCUGAUCAAGUGACAAGUGGAAAGUGAUAAGUAAUAGCUUCGGCUAUACUUAUCUGAUCAAGUGAUAAAGUGAUAAGUGAUAGCUUCGGCUAUACUUAUCUGAUCAAGUGACAAAGUGAUAAGUGAUAGCUUCAGCUACACUUAUCUGAUCAAGUGACAAGUGGAAAGUGAUAAGUGAUAGCUUCGGCUACACUUAUCUGAUCAAGUGACAAGUGAAAAGUGAUAAGUGAUAGCUUCGGCUAUACUUAUCUGAUCAAGAGACAAAGUGAUAAGUGAUAGCUUUAGCUACACUUAUCUGAUCAAGAGACAAAGUGAUAAGUGGCUACACUUAUCUGAUCAAGAAACAAAGUGAUAAGUGGCUACACUUAUGUGAUCAAGAAACAAAGUGAUAGGUGGCUACACUUAUCUGAUCAGGGACAAGUGAUAAGUGAUCAUACGUAAGACCAUAGUUAUACUAUGGCAAAGUGAAAGUGAAGUACUCAAUUUUCCGUGACCGUUCCCUAAUUUGAUUAAAGAUGGUAAGUGACAAAUGGGCCCAAAAGAAUUAAAGUAAAUGGAUAAGUGAUAGUGUAUUUAUAUCAGGACGAUGUUGUUAUUCAAACUAAAGUGAUAUUUUCAUUGCUAAAUUGAGAAUUUCAUAAAUGUGUUAUUGAAUGGUAUAAUCAAUAAACAUUGAGUUAAAUGGUAAAUACGUAUUAGUUUUGAAUUUGAUGUCAUUGAAUUGUACGUGAAUUAAAUGGAAAUUUCUAGUGAUAUGAUUUAAAUUAUGAGCAUGAGAAAUUGCGAAUUGAAUGAAAUGGAAAUGAAGCAUUAAAUUGCAUGAGUAUGUAUCGGGUCUCGCAGGCCCUAAUUAUUAUGAUUAUAAUAUUUUAAGGAUAUAUUGUGAAAAGUUAUAGAAACAUGUUAAUUAUUUUUGAAAGUUUUAAUUUUGAUGAAAUUUUAUAACUCGGUUAAAUACGUUUACAAGUGUAUGUGUUUUGGUAAUGCCUCGUACCCUAUUCCGGUGUUGGAUACGGGUAAGGGGUGUUACAACAUGCAACAUCAAUAACAUAUGCAAGCCCAUUUGGGGAGACUACUCAACUCACCAACCACUACACUCCACCCAUACCAGCCAUACACUCCAUGUGGGGAAUAGCUCAACCCACCCAGCCCAACACUCCACAGUUGCAGCCUUGCUGCUCAGUUAACAGUAAAUUGAGGCAAAGCCUCCAGUACGUGGACAAGCCACUUUCAGUACUUCCUCCGUCAAUAUCCCAGUCCCAUGCAUCAGAUAAUAACAACAUGGCAUGCAGUAAAUAACAACAGUCAAACAUGCAUUUAAGUCAAUUUAACCCUAGGGGUAUUUCGAUAAUUUAUCUCUUAGGUGUAAAACUAUAAAUUUUCCACUUUUAAAGGUAUUUCAGUAAUUUAUCUAUUUUAGGGUUUUUCAUGCAUAUUCUUACUUUUCACGUACUAACAGAAUCACAUAUCGAGGGUUCUUACCGAAUUGGGCCCGUUGGCCCAUCAUUCCAAUUUUGGCCCACUAAGCCCAAAAAUAUCGAGGGCACAGAAAUCAUGCACUUUGCAGUCCAAACAUUGCAGCUUACCAAAAACAUUAAUCGAUUUACCUCACGAGCAUUCACACACUCGCAAAUCUACAAAAUACCGGUUUUUGGCAUUUCGACUUUUCGGCUUUUACCGAUCUAGACUAAGAAAGAGGGUGUUAGUUACACACCUGUUUGCGACGAUAUGCUGACGAGAUCCACACACACGAACUGCCUACAAUUGGAUUACUAACACGUUAAUCUAACUAUUCAAACACGAACUACAUAUUAACCCCUUAGAAUAUUCGGCCAACCACACCUACAGAUCAUAGUAAGCUUAUAAGAAAUCAAUAAGCAACUCAUUAACAAAUUUUUGUCAAUGUUUACCACAUAAUCAUAAUUUCACUGCAAGCUGUCUUCCUGAGCAACAGUCACUAAAUUAUUUAUAACUGGAGCUACGAAACUCCAAAUCAAGUUCCGUUAAUUUUCCCUGAAAAUAGACUCAUAUAUAUUCUAUCUAUAAAAUUUUCAGAAUUUUUGAUUUAGCCAAUCAAUACCAGAUUUUUCUAAAAGUUUCCCAUGUUUCACUGUUUGAAUAAUCUGACCACUCUUCAUUACGAAUCAAAUUUCUCAUUGUACAGAAUUCAAAAUAUGUUCUUGUUUAUUUCAUUAGAAACUAGACUCAAUAAGAUUUAAUUACAUAAUUUAUUCAGCUUCUAAUUCAUCUCCCACAAUUUAUGGUGAUUUUCCAAAGUCACGUUACUGCUGCUGUCCCAAGCAGAUUUAUUACCAAAUCACUCUUUCACACAUACCUUGCAUGCAUGUUAUUUAAACAUGUAUAUCACCAAUCAAUCAUCACAUAUCUAUGAUUUUACUUAAGUAUAAUCUCCAUUUCAUCAUUUUAAAGUACAACAUGUUAGCUGAUUUUUCCCUUUAACAUCUAAGGCACAUGCAUGCUCAUUUGUUUGGCUCAACUUCACCUAUCUUCCAUUUUUCAUCAAAAGAACAUGAAACAACAACCAUUUCCUUCAUUUUAAUUCAUGACUAAAUGCUUACAACACAACUAAAAAUUAAAAUAUACUUCAAGAGUUAAGGUAGAAUCAAGAAGAACUCAUGAACCUCAAAAUAGAAGCAAGGUACCAAGAACUUACCUUCAAUUUUCC